rnacentral:lncRNA from 1 species
AUUUUGCAUGCAAUUUCAGGAUCACAAAUCCCAUGAAGUAAAUGAACCCUGGCUUGCGUAAGAAUCUUUGGAAAAAGAAAUGCAAGAAUUUCUGCUUCUCAUAGCAUUGAACGAUCUGCAGAUGGUGGAUAGCCAACCCUGGCACUAAGGGUUGAGCUAGACUAUGUUUGGGGCAUAGAAGGGAAUGAGAUGCAAAAUCAGUUUAAGAAGAGGCUGAAUUCGGAUCUUCAACAAGGCCCUUGAAAGGAAGAAUGAAAGGACUGAGAGAGUUGAGAUUGCUAAGGAACACAAGCCGUGCAAAGAUGGGGCAGCUGAAGUCACCCAUGUGAAACUGAGGCACCAGGAGUUGGCUACCAAGUGGAAAUAAGUGACAUAAGCACAGUGGUUUAGAAGCCACAGUGUCCCUGGGAAUGAAACUGACAGGCAGUUCCUUAAGGAUCUACAUGAUUUGUUAUUCGCAAACAACGUCCAGGCUGUCCCUGACUCAACCCACACAGGAGCCCCUGAAGCAAUUCCCUGAUCUGAGUUCAAAGGUCAAAAAAACCCCACAAAAGAGCAGAACCGCUACCUUGCCAACACCACUUGGAAGUGAAAUUGCAGUUAUAUGACCCUCUUAAGGGAAAGUUUUCAGAUGGACUCCAACUAAGGAAGUUGAACCUACAGGUCAGGGAGACUCACAGGUGAAGCAAAGAGCCCUGGAUGAUCUGGUGUCUCCUUGCCUCUCCAGCUGCUUCUUGUAUCAAUAGCACCUUUUCCUUCCACCAUACCAGCCUUUGUCCAGUUUCCCAAAAGCAGCUCCCUCUCCCUGCAGGGCUUCCACAUACACUGUUCCCCCCAUUUGGAACUCUUUCCCCUUCUCUUCACCUACUUCGUUCCUACUCAUUUUCAGAUGUCAGCUAUCACUUCCUCAGGAAAAUCCUCCAUGACUGAUACCGACCCUGAUAUCAGUUUCCCCACAUUAAACCCAGCAUAUAUGGGGUUAAAACCAAAACACUCAUUCCCUGCUUACUCUCUGGCUUCCUGGCUCCAGAAUCCACUAUCCUCCAUGGAGACAGACACCAUCAAGGACAAGCACCUGGACUAUCUCCUCCCCACAAAGAGAGACAGACUGGUGGGAAAGCUGCUGACCAGCAAGGUCACGGUCUCCCUCCUCUCUGUAAGUGUCUCAAGGCCAAAGACAGGCUGGUGGGAAAGCUCCGACCAGCAAGGCCAUAUGCUCCCCCUCCCCCUACCUAAAACCCCAAAUAAAAACCCUUCUUUUUAGCUUUUCGGCGAGUUUGGGAUUUCAGCGUUAGCUGCGCUCUCUCCUUGGUCAGCGCUGUGCAAAAAUAAACUUCCCACUCUCUUCCACUACACCCGGUGUCAGAGAUUGGCUUGCUGAGCAACGGGUGAGCGAACUCACUUCAGGUUCGGUAACAUGACUUCCCCCACUGACCCGGACUCUGCAGUCCCCGAUAAACUUCCAUUGUGUAACACAUCGCAGUUGCGGUAUUUACUUGCAUAAUGUCUAUCUCCC